CAGCUAUGAUGAAUUUUAUUCCAAUCAUUCGCAGUUUCCACCAUAAGGACUAACUCGGUCUUAAUGAUGGCUUGAAUGUCCUUCCUUGGAUGUCUGAGCUG